AUUGAACGCUGGCGGCAUGCCUAACACAUGCAAGUCGAACGAGUGGCGGACGGGUGAGUAUUGUCUGGGAAACUGCCUGACGGAGGGGGAUAACUACUGGAAACGGUAGCUAAUACCUCAUACCAUUGGAUGUGCCCAGAUGGGAUUAGCGAGUAGGUGGGGUAAUGGCUCACCUAGGCGACGAUCCCUAGCUGGUCUGAGAGGAGGACCAGCCACACUGGAACUGAGACACGGUCCAGACUCCUACGGGAGGCAGCAGUGGGGAAUAUUGCACAAUGGGCGCAAGCCUGAUGCAGCCAUGCCGCGUGUAUGAAGAAGGCCUUCGGGUUGUAAAGUACUUUCAGCGGGGAGGCGUUACCCGCAGAAGAAGCACCGGCUAACUCCGUGCCAGCAGCCGCGGUAAUUC
rnacentral:rRNA from 1 species